GAUGAACGCUGGCGGCGUGCCUAAUACAUGCAAGUCGAGCGAACGGACGAGAAGCUUGCUUCUCUGAUGUUAGCGGCGGACGGGUGAGUAACACGUGGAUAACCUACCUAUAAGACUGGGAUAACUUCGGGAAACCGGAGCUAAUACCGGAUAAUAUUUUGAACCGCAUGAUUCAAAAGUGAAAGACGGUCUUGCUGUCACUUAUCGCUGGGUCCGCGCUGCAUUAGCUAGUUGGUAAGGUAACGGCUUACCAAGGCAACGAUGCAUAGCCGACCUGAGAGGGUGAUCGGCCACCCUGGAACUGAGACACGGUCCCGACUCCUACGGGAGGCAGCAGUAGGGAAUCUUCCGCAAUGGGCGAAAGCCUGACGGAGCAACGCCGCGUGAGUGAUGAAGGUCUUCGGAUCGUAAAACUCUGUUAUUAGGGAAGAACAUAUGUGUAAGUAACUGUGCACAUCUUGACGGUACCUAAUCAGAAAGCCACGGCUAACUACGUG
rnacentral:rRNA from 1 species